UACGAAGGGGACUAGCGUUGUUCGGAAUCACUGGGCGUAAAGGGUGCGCAGGCGGCCAAGUGUGUCAGGUGUGAAAUCCCGAGGCUUAACCUCGGAACUGCGCCUGAAACUACUUGGCUAGAGUACUGGAGAGGGUAACGGAAUUCACGGUGUAGCAGUGAAAUGCGUAGAUAUCGUGAGGAACACCAGAGGCGAAGGCGGUUACCUGGACAGUUACCGACGCUCAGGCACGAAAGCCGUGGGGGAGCAAAAAGGGG
rnacentral:rRNA from 1 species